UCUUCGCUUUAACAUGGGGGUACCUGCUACAUAAUUAAAAAGUAAGUGCUUCCAUGUUUCAGUGGAGA
rfam:Sarcophilus harrisii ctg7180002490722, whole genome shotgun sequence.